rnacentral:rRNA from 1 species
AUUGAACGCUGGCGGCAUGCCUUACACAUGCAAGUCGAACGGCAGCACGGGUGCUUGCACCUGGUGGCGAGUGGCGAACGGGUGAGUAAUACAUCGGAACGUACCGUAUCGUGGGGGAUAACGCAGCGAAAGCUGUGCUAAUACCGCAUACGCCCUGAGGGGGAAAGCGGGGGAUCGAAAGACCUCGCGCGAUUAGAGCGGCCGAUGCCUGAUUAGCUUGUUGGUGGGUAAAAGCCCACCAAGGCGACGAUCAGUAGCUGGUCUGAGAGGACGAUCAGCCACACGGGGACUGAGACACGGCCCAGACUCCUACGGGAGGCAGCAGUGGGCAAUUUGGGACAAUGGGGGCAACCCUGAUCCAGCAAUGCCGCGUGAGUGAAGAAGGCCUUCGGGUUGUAAAGCUCUUUUGUCAGGGAAGAAACACCGGCUCUAACACAGUCCGGGAAUGACGGUACCUGAAGAAUAAGCACCGGCUAACUACGUGCCAGCCGCCGCAGUAA